CCCGCCACCAUGCAAGUCUGUAAAAGUGACUGUGUAUGAUCCAGUGGUGGCUGAUAAUGACCCAGCUCUAGGAAGCAGUGCUAUCCAACUUGAUGGGCAACUCUGUGCUGAAAGGCCUGGAACAAGU